rnacentral:rRNA from 1 species
UUCCUCUUAGUUAAAGAGGUAAGGCCUGCUCACUGAAUAUUUAAAGAGCCGCAGUAUCCUAACUGUGCUAAGGUAGCAUAAUCAUUAGUCUUUUAAUUGGAGACUGGUAUGAAUGGCUAAACGAGAAAUUGACUUUUUUUGUUAUAUAAAUUGAAUUUAAUUUUUUAGUGAAAAAGCUAAAAUUUUUCGGAAAGACGAGAAGACCCUAUAGAGUUUUAUAUUUUACAAUAUUUUUUCUAAUUUGAUUUUUAUAGAAUAAAUAUUUAAGAGUAUUUUGUUGGGGCGACAUUAAGAUAUAAAAAACUCUUUAUUUUCAAAAUUUUAAUGAAAAAUUUGUUUGAUCCUCUAAAAGAGAUCAAAAGAAAAAAUUACCUUAGGGAUAACAGCGUAAUCUUUUUUGAGAGUUCUAAUCGACAAAAAGGUUUGCGACCUCGAUGUUGGACUAAAAUUUAGGCAGGGUGCAGCAGUUCUGCUUUAAGGUCUGUUCGACCUAUAAUAUUUUACACGAUCUGAGUUCAGACCG